AUCCAACCUGCCGAUGACUCGGGGAUAGCCUUUCGAAAGAAAGAUUAAUACCCGAUGGCAUAGUUCUUCCGCAUGGUAGAACUAUUAAAGAAUUUCGGUCAUCGAUGGGAUGCGUUCCAUUAGGUUGUUGGCGGGGUAACGGCCCACCAAGCCUUCGAUGGAUAGGGGCUCUGAGAGGAAGGUCCCCCACAUUGGAACUGAGACACGGUCCAAACUCCUACGGGAGGCAGCAUG
rnacentral:rRNA from 1 species